rnacentral:RNase_P_RNA from 1 species
CGGCUGCAGGUGUCGAAAGACCGCAGGUGAGGAAAGUCCGGGCUUCAAAGGGCAGGAUGCCGGCUAACGGCCGGUGGAGGCGACUCUAAGGACAGUGCAACAGAAAUAUACCGCUGCAGUGAUGCAGUAAGGGUGGAAGGGCAGUGUAAGAGACUACCGCCCGCCUGGUAACAGACGGGGCACAUGUAAACCCCAUCCGAAGCAAGACCGAAUGGAAGCGAUGACGCGGCCCGCCAGCUUCAGGUUGGUUGCUUGAGGUAACUGGCAACAGUUAUCCUAGAUAGAUGAUUAUUCAACGACAUAACCCGGCUUACCGUCCUGCUUAU